rnacentral:lncRNA from 1 species
UCAAAUUGAAAUUUAUUAAUAUCUUGUGUAUCUACAAAAUUCUGAAAAAUCAUAAUUUCAAAUUACAGGCUGCAGUUGCCUAGGACAAAAUGGGAAGAAAACCACCAGAAUAUAGAUGAAGGUCCAAAAUUCUUGUCAAGAACUAAUCAAUCUAGCUUACUGAACAGAAACACGCGAAGCCCUUACACAGCCACUGCCCUUUAUCCCAGUUGCUUAAUGUGGAACAAGGGUUUUGCAGUCUUGCUACUCCAUCUCCUGCUUGCAAGUUCAAGAGUAUCUCGACAUAUAUGAUGCUUUCGGUUGUAUAUCUGCAUAUUAUGCAGCGACCAGAAAUUGCAUUAGUAUGCCACCACAACUAAAUAAACACAUUCUUAUCUUAAGGAGAUACAUAUAGAACAAAAAUACAUCUUAAUACUUGCGAAUUUUGCAAAUGGGACUCUUCUGGGGGGGGCGAGGAGUUCAAUUGAACACUACAAGUCUGCCAUUAUAUAUGAUAUGACAAAAUUAACUAUUCAAAAAAAGUUUAAGCAUAUAACAGUGUCGAAUACAGGAUGAUCUAAGCUCAGUAAGUGUAAAAGGUAAAGUCCCAUUAUCACAGNNNNNNNNNNNNNNNNNNNNNNNNNNNNNNNNNNNNNNNNNNNNNNNNNNNNNNNNNNNNNNNNNNNNNNNNNNNNNNNNNNNNNNNNNNNNNNNNNNNNNNNNNNNNNNNNNNNNNNNNNNNNNNNNNNNNNNNNNNNNNNNNNNNNNNNNNNNNNNNNNNNNNNNNNNNNNNNNNNNNNNNNNNNNNNNNNNNNNNNNNNNNNNNNNNNNNNNNNNNNNNNNNNNNNNNNNNNNNNNNNNNNNNNNNNNNNNNNNNNNNNNGGGGGGGAAUGUGGAAAAUGCAUUCGGAAGAUUGAUCACCAGCAUAUAGUGCAACAUAAUAGAUCAAGAUUACUCUUUGUUCUGCACUCCCAAUCAAAUCGCAUCAAUGAUGAAAGACUGUAGGAGGUAACUAGACAGUGCAUACAGAUUGAAUUUGAAGGAGGAAUACAUAUUUUCCAAGACUAGGAGGCUCUCAAUGUGAUACAUAUGGAUCAUCUAAUAAACACUGGCUUUUGUUUGCCGGCCAAAAGUGAGUUUGUUUCGUGCAACAAUUUUUGCUCUAUCACGAAAGUAAAGCAUACUUCUACAGUAGCACAAAAAAUACUAAAUUUAUCGCAAACAACUUAAAGCCUCAUAUUGGUAAUUCUCUAAAGACUUGAUAACUUAAAGAAUAAAGAUUUUGUUAAGUUAAUCAAGUACUUCUGGAACAAAAUAAGUCUAUUUCGAUUAUAAAGAAGCCACCUAUAGGAGGAAACUUAGUUGUAUUAACAUGUUCAAGAAAUCAAUUUCUGGUACCUAAAACUCAAGCGGAGUGCAAAUGAAUAAUGGUUUGCCUCAUUCACAGAAUAUUGUUCAGUUUAGAUUUAUAUCAAAACGUCAUAUCUAAGCAUCUUAGCUAGAUUUAGGGUAGCCUUCUCCCAAUUCUGUAUCUGGUGUGCAUAUAUGGAUAUGAGCCUAAUCCAUCUGAUAAAACCUCCAUCCAUAUGAGAGUACUCUAAAAAUUAAUGUACCAACUCUUAUUAUAAUUAAGUUGUGACCAAGUCAUUGACUAUGUCAAAGAAAAAGUAUUAGUAUAUAUUUGGCUUUAAAAGUGGACUCUCAUUUUGACGGAUGGAGUAAAGUAAAAAUACAGAACCUGUAUUACACAGAAUAAAGUGUUAUUUCCUCAACAGAAUCUUUUACUAGAAAAUUUGAUUUUUCAACCAAGAUGUGGUUUACUACUGAAGGGGCGGUAGAUAUAGAGAAAAACUUUGUCAACAAGGUAUUUGUUUCAACUACCUUCAGUUAAACCUAUUUGUAUGCUUCUUUAUCGAGCAGUUUAAAGUGACGGUUAAAAUAAUUUAAGACAUUUUCUUAUUUGUACUCAAUAUAAGAGUCAAAACAAUUGAAAAACAACUAAAGACAUGGCCAUUAAAAAUAUGUGCAUAAGAUGUCAGUUAAGUAUUUAUGAUUUUCAUUAGUUAAGUACUCCAUCUGUCCCAAAUUGUAGGUUUCAUAAUAAACAUGCACAUAGUUAACAAAAGAAAAUUUUGAACUUGUUCAUUCGUACCCUUCCUGAAGUAAAUGUACAAGGAAAUUUGUCGCGGAGAAUGAGCACAUACUAUUAUCUCUAUUCUCCAAAAGGGGGACUAUGGUUCAUUUGUAUUGGCAUUUCAUUGGAUUUGCAAAACUAAAACAAUUUGGGACAUCCAAAACAAAUCAUGACACUUAAUUGGAUGAAGCAAAUAUAACCUUACCUUUCACUUUAACGAGUCAAAAGAAUGAAGUUGUUAUCUCCAGAUACGAUUUAUGUAAUCAUAUAUAAAUAUAUUACAUUUUUGUCUUUUUAUGCAAAUUUAUAUACUUAUAUUCUCUCUUCUCUAUCAAUAAAAUAUUAUUAUCUAUCCGAAUAUAUUUAAGUAUAUCAUGAAUUGUCAUAAAUGCUUAAUAAAGAAUGGAACUAAAGCAAUUAAAUAAAAAUUAUUAAACUAAUUAACAUAGACUCCCGCAGAUAAAUUUCCAUUUUCAGCAUGAGGAAACUUGACAAAAUAAUCUUUUAAGCAAUUAAUGCACAUCUAAAUUAUUCUUAUCAACCUUGAACACAAUAAAUGAGAUUUUUACCUCUAUUCAACUCUGUAGGUAAAAAGUUAUAUCAUACACAUUAAUACAUUAUGCGAAUAUUGUCACAUAAAAAUUUUUUUGAUGGCAAUUGGGCGGGGGAAAGAUUAAGUGAAAGAAAACUGUUGAUGACUGCAUAACAGCUGGCAUUUAAUAUGUACACCAACAAAUUACUAAAACCUUAAAAAAAAUUAAUGCAAGAAAAUAUAAAUUUUAUCACACAACAUUAGUCAUUAUUAUUUACCUGAAUUGUGUAACACAUUUACAAGGACAAACCAUCAAUCUGGAAGCAAGGUAACAUUGUCUUGAAUGGGCUAGAUUACACUCAAAUUAAUUGUGCAAAUACUAGGAUUAAAGAUACCUGGAUGCACUUACCAAGUCUGAAAUAUCCAUACUUUAAUUUGUGAAGGGCAAGAUUUUGAAGAACUUUGAACUAUUAAUAGAGAAGGACAAAAGCAUUAAUUUACCCAUCUUUUCUAUUUCUUCUAAUUCCCAAGCGUUCUCAAUCAAAGCUUGCUUCUAAAUCUCAUCAAUUUUUCCAUUAGUUGUGUUUGUGCAAAUAGCUCUUUCCAAGUUAUGUUUGAAGGAAGUCCUCCAUUUGUGUAUGGGGUGCUUCUUUUUGUUCUUCCUAUUUCUAGCAUCUUUUGAGCAUCAAAAGCAAGAGUAGAAGUCUAAAGGUACCAACUACAGAAUGAAAUAAAUUUUACAUUUAUAUGAUUUUUUUAUUACUUUUAUAUAUACACCUGAUUUUUAUUCAAACUCUUUUCACAUACAAGGCUUUGUUAACCCCACCCCCCCACCCCCUCCCCCUUUUUUCUCUUUUUCAUACCCUAGAAUGAGCAGCACAUUUAUAGCUUUUUAAGGCAAAGUUAUUUCUUUUUACUUUCUCUUUGAGAUUUCACAAUUACUAACUGUUCUAAAUUUUGAUUUUUUAUUAUUAGUGCACUUAGUUCUUGGUUUUCUUUGCAGUAGAACUAGAUAUCUAUUGAGGAGUUGAGAUAAGAUAAGUUGACGCAAUUCAAAGAGAUCAGUUUUCAUGGGUAGACAAGGACCUUGUUCCCAUUGUGGGAUUGAAGGUGAAUGUUCUUUUAACUUGUGUACUUCAUCUUCCUAUUACUAAAUUCUCUUUCGAUUCACUUUUCCUAAGUUAAUAUAUCUUUAUCUUCCGCUUAAUAUAUGAUCCAUUAAAUAGAUACCGAUACUCAAGUGUUUAUGGUUUUAGAAUGAAGAAUCAACUUUGGUUUAUUGUUUCUUGGUUGACAACUGAUAUCUAUUAUAAAUAUAUUUUCUUUUGGAUUCCAUAACCAGUUUAAGGAAACAUUUUUCUCCCAAUUGCUAGGAUUUAGUUUUGCUGUGAAUGUCCUUGUCAGUGUUACAAAUCUUGACAGUAAAAUUCUUUGUACGGUUAUAAAUGCCCUAAGACAUACAUCAAUAAAUCCCCCUCUAUAUGUAUAAGAUGGGAAUCUUUUGACUGACAGGCCAAGAAACCCUACCUCAUGUGGUCGCCCAUCUUUUUCCUACUUCAUUGGCCAUACCAUCCUUGUUCCUUACCGUAUAUAGAGUUCAACUCCAAACCUACAUUCUUCAUAAUCUAUAACUUCUACAACUCAGCUCAACAACGCCUUUUAUCUCAAACAUACCCUAUGACUUCUAAAGUACAAAAUUUAUCCUUACAGAAACGACAAGUGUUAUCUCGAUUCUCGAAAGAAGCAACUAAUCACACAUAAACAUUAAAGAGAUUAAGAGAGGAGAUUCUAUAACCCUUGUAAAAAAAAGUUACAAAUUUUCCUAAAAUAAUUGAUAUAAUAAGUACAAUAUUUUUUAUAUUAAGUAGAGUAUUUAAUCAUAUUAUACCCAAGGGUUAUAAGGUUUGACAAUUUUUAUAAGUACAAUAUUUAAUCAUAUUAUACCUAAAAGUUAUAAGGUUUGACAUCAGAUAAUCUAUUUGAUCUCUUCAACAUUAUUGUUCAAGUCCUCUAUAUAUGAAUGAACAAUAAGACUAAACCAAGAAACUAGGAGACAUUUUGGGGUGAGUAGGCAAGUCAAUUGAAGUUUCAGCAAGUCAUCCAAAACUGUUAGAAGAAGUUUGGGGGUCAGCAAAGUUUCCUUUAGUAGUUGGAAACUGAUAGCCUCCUAUGCUCAAUUGCAUUGAGAGACAUUCAUAUCGUGUAAUAAAUAGAGGAAGGGUAGAAAAGUUCUGGCUACAUGAUGUAGUGUGUAUUGAGGGACGAGGCGAUCAUGAACCAUCUUUUAAUUUAUUUUGUAGUGCCUUGGAAUUUGAAAAAUACCCUAUAGUCUUUUUGGUAUGAGUUGGUAAUGCCUUGUUUGAUCAUAGGGUCCAUAUUCAGUUGCAGCAGUAAGAAGAUCAGAAAGAAACCGAAUGCAUCUCCUCUUUGCCUAAUGUGGUUGAUUUGGAAGGACAGGAUUAGAAGAUGUUUUGAGUAUACUGAUUUCGUAAUAUAAAAAGUUCAUUCUUUGAUGUUGAGUAUAGUUUUCUUGUGGCACCAUCAUGGCCUUUAUAAGCAUUGUAUUCAGUUUUGAAUUUCUUAGAUGCAUUUGCACUAAGGUUUUUCUUUUUCUUUUUUUACUUUUUUGUGGAAUGUGGUGGAGGAGAGGACUAAUCCCCCUAUGUAUACUGACUAUAUUCUUAUGCUUGACUUGAACUUUCUCUGCAUUGUAUUUGGGUAGCUAAUUAAAUAUUCAUUAAUGCUACUCUUUUGGAUACAUUAUUUGUUAUUGGUGAAGCCAGAUAAGACUUUGAUUCAGAGGUGAUUGUACUUUCGAGGUGAAUUAGGGUACUUAUAUUGUAUUGCAUUAUAUAAGGAGGGGAUACUGCACAAUAAUGUCAGCUUUUCUGAGACAGUGGCACUGGCUUGCCACCAACCAGUGGAGUAACCCAACCUUUGGGCGAACCACAUAAAUUUUGUCUUGUGUUAUUAUUUUGCUUUCGAUUUCUCUUUGCUAUUGUUUUCGACGCGAUGUUAUUUUUCUAACAUUAUUCACAGGCGCAACUUACCCAUAAUUAAAAUAAUUAUAUAAGCACUAAUCCCACAACCUAUAAUGCAAUCUAGUAACUAUUGAAGAAAAAUUGAAAUUGGAGAAUUCUUUUGAUUUUAUCGUGACCUAAUAGAAUUCUAAAUUCUAUCUUCUCUUUCAUUUUUAUUUGGGUCCUUUCUUCUUCUUAGUCUAUUGUCNNNNNNNNNNNNNNNNNNNNNNNNNNNNNNNNNNNNNNNNNNNNNNNNNNNNNNNNNNNNNNNNNNNNNNNNNNNNNNNNNNNNNNNNNNNNNNNNNNNNACAAUACAGUCUUGGAGAAUUUGAAUAAACGUCAUCUUAAUCCAUUGAUGAAGAGAAAUUUGCUAGAUCUCGUUAUUUUUGUCUCCCUAAAUCAUCAAAGAUUUUCUAAUUAAUUAAAAAUCUACAUGAUAACUUCCUUUCUUUUAGAUAGAUAAAGAUAAAUAUUCGUCAUAAGAGACAAGAGGUCUACCUAAGAAAAUAUAGCUAGUGGAACAAAGUCAUCAGGACUAAACAAAACUUGGUGAAAAGAGAAACCCCACAAAAGCAACAUCACCGAAACCCAAGGAAAUGGAAGGGAAGACAAUCUAUCCCUAAAAAUGCAUAUAAAGAUUUCUUAAAAUCAUAUAAGAUAAUUUUAAUUUUCUUGGAAAUCUAUUCAAUAGAAGGAAGAAAUCUGUAAUUUAAAUAUAUUUCUUUUAUCAUAUGCAUGCUUUCAUGCAAGUCGAUGUGUACAUUUUUGCCAAUGUUGGAUAUUUAAGUUUUGAGCAUCUUACGAAACAUAAUGAUGUGAAUUGAAAUAUUUGAUUUCAAAAAAAUUGAUUAGAAAAGAAAUAAGAGGACAAACACGGGACAUGUAUGGAUUUAGUUCUGCCAAAGGUACAAAAAUUUAAUACCUAUAGUUAUAUUUAAGUACAUAGUGUAACGACCCAAGCCUUAAUGACUUAACCCAAUCCUAAAGCAAUCCACGUCUCAAGAGCACCAAUCAGGACAUCUUGGUCAACACCAAGCUCAUGCAAAAGCCAUGACAAGUUAUUAGUACUCCUGAUAGUAGAGUCGAUACUUUAUUAUAUAUAGUUCAGCCCAUCGAUCCAUCUCACAUAUUCUAAUGUAGGACUAGCAUAUUACAAUCUCCCCCACUUAAAUCUCUGACGAGGAUGAUACGCCCACAACUACAGUUUUGUUCAAAACGAAAGAAAACAAUCACACAAGACAUAAAAUUUAUGUGGUUCACCCAAAUGUUGGGCUAGUCCACAGUCGGCGGCUGAUCAGUUUCACUAUCUUUUGGAAAUUUCAUACAUCUUACAAUUACGGGAUCCCUUACUUAUAUAACAUAAUAUAAGAACAACUUUGGACCUACCAGCCCCACCGAUGUCCUCCACUCCAAGAACAGACCCAAUUACCUUUUGGGUAGCUUUAUAAUCACCUCUAAAUGAAAGUUUAGAUCAGGUUUCACCAAUAAUAGUUACCACUUUGAUAUCAUUAGUACCGACCUGGGCCUAAGCCCGAGCCAAAUAUAAGGCUCAACCCACAUCCCAUUUGGGUCAUCUUGGUCCACCACAGGUCCACACAAAAUCAUGACAAAUUGUUGGUACUCUUGGUAGUAGAGUUGAGGCCUUAUUUACAAUUCAUAAAGUAGAACUAAAACGCAAAAUAUAAAGAUAGGUGAAGUCUACUAUCCUUGUUUUCUUUCAUUGGAAUGAAAUGAACUCAGCUUACAAUAAGAGGCCUGAAAACAAAUGGAAAGUUUUUACAGUCCAUUAAAUAUGUGAUUUGUCCUCGCUAUAUAUUGGCUUAAAUGUAAAAUCUCAUGUUGAUUCAGUUUAGCAGAAUCACUGAGACCCUUCUCAUGAAGAACCUCAACUGAAUUCUCUUCUCAUGGUAGAACCCCUUAGGAUCUAUCUAAGUUUUUAUAAGCUAAUUUUAGCUUUAUUUAUGUGCUAAACCUAUUUCAGCUACAAAUGUUGACAGACUUCAAAUACAUGAAAAUUUAUUUGAGAGUAGAAUAUAUUGAUAGGACUAAUAAUGUUCCAGUGAAAUAUUUGUACACUUGAUUACUUUAAAGGGACCUUGGGCCUCUAAUUUACUCUCACGACAAGCCUUUCUCGUAGUAUAUCUAUAUUAUAGUCUCCGUUGUCACCACAUAUUUUUCAUGCAUGUGUCUUGAAUUUCAAUCACUGUUGUUUUUUCUUCAUAUCGAUAACUGAUGUAUAUUAAAUUGGAACAGACUCCCUAAUCUGGAGACGUGGACCAGCUCAAAAACCAGUACUGUGCAAUGCAUGUGGGUCAAGGUGGAAAAUCAAAGGAAAUCUUAAUGCCUAUGUUCCUAAACAUAGAAAUUCUAAAAGCAGUAAACGGAAAAAAUUACCUCUUGAUGAGAAGCCAGCUAUUCCUGUAAUAGUUCCAAAUCAGAAACAGUCAAAUCUGGGAGGGGAAGUAGUGAAAUUUCAGAAUUGUUCAACUUCCUCCAAAGAUGGUACAGACAACAGUUCUAGGUCCGAAUGUAUGGUAUCGUCCUUAACCGACUGCACUCAGAUGGAAAGUAUUGCUGGUAAGAAACUCGUAAUGCUACCUACUGCACUUAAAUGUUUUGAUAUUAUAAUUAAUUGUUAGCUAGUUGGGUUAAACUUCAUCAAUGGUCGUGUUGUUCGCAUAUAGUAAAUUUAAUAACUAAAAUGUCACAUUAUACUAUCCCUCGUCAACCAGCUUUAUUGUUCAGUUAGCCAUGAAAUUUCUUAGGUUCUCCCUUAAAUUUGAUAUAGAGUUUAUUUUAUGUCUUUCGUCUUAUGAGAAUUAUAUAGCUAAUCAUUAAGUUUGAAUGUUAUCACCAGUUUUAUUCUUUAAUUUUUUUUUUCUUCAUAAUAGAUUUUACUAAACACAGAUGACAACCUUUUGAACCAGAUGCCACGCUGUGCAUGCAUAAAUAUCACACACAUAUCUCCCAUGUAACUUUGUUAUUCCCUCAUGUUUCACAUUUUAUUGUUAGUUCACAUAUAUAUUCAGGAGCGGUUAUAAUUAAAAAACAGAAACCAAAUUUUAAUAAGAUAAACUCUGCAAACUAUAGUUUAUAUUCUAAAUAUAUAAUUAAUUACUUUCAAUCCUUUUCGAUUAACAGAAAGCCAGAAAGAAGAACCAUAUCCAAAAAGUUACCAAAAAUUUACUCAACCAUCUCCACCUAAAACUGUUAAGGUCCCUUCAUGUCAAUCUUUUAUAGGAAGGUACCAAAUCUUCUGGUUCUCUUCUUCUUCUUCUUUUCCUUUUUUUUCAUAUUCAUCAGCGAAUUAGAAUACAAAAUUCUUCAAAAUAUGCCAACUUGUUUUUCAACGCGCACCUGAUAAAUUAGCUGUAUUUAUGUCUAUAGCAAAAAAACUAUACAAUUAUCACUCAUUAGCUUAGUUUAGUGUUCAAUAUGUCCUGUACCUUCAGGAUGUUCAUCCAUUUUUUUGAGAUGAUAGUCCACUUUAUCCCUUUCAGUCUUGGUCAUAAUCAACGCGUUCUUUAUAUCUUACAGAUCAUUACAACCCUCUACUCCUAUAAAGCACCGAUGAGACUUUGCUAAAACUUUAGUAUAAAAAAUUGAAGCUUCAGAUAUUUUAUUAGAUAAAAAGAAGAGUUUGUUGAGAGAAAACAAAAGUACACGAAGGUGGAGAAGGAGACCACCCUAAAAAACCAAAAGUUGGAAAAGAAAAUAUUCAAAUUUUAAUCCCUAUGUAAAUUCGGAACCAUGAAAAGCACACAUAGCAUAUGACAAUAGCCACAAUGAGACCAGAAGCAUGGUCUGUUCCUCAACAAGUGAAAAGGAAUAUAUUGAUCCCUAAAUUUUGGCAGUUUGUUCUGUCCAUAUACCCCAAAAGACUGAAAAAGUCCACAACUUUAACGUCAAUACUCCUACCAAACUCUGAAAACCUGAUAAAACAACAAAGAUUCUCUUCAUCUCCUAUUUUCCAUGUGAUGAUAAGUACUAACAUAUAUAUAUAUAUAUAUAUAUAUAUAUAUAUAUAUAUAUAUAUAUAUAUAUAUAUAUAUAUAUAUAUAUAUUCCCAUCCUGCAUCACUUUUACUUCUGGCAGAUUCAGGUCUCUAUCAGGCACUGGUCCAUUGGUAGGAGGAUGGAAAAGUUUUAGGAUGAAAAAUAGGAAGGAUUUAUCUUCCCUAGGAAAGGAAAAGUGUUAAUUCAUCAUGUUGUUAGGUAAUAAGAGCUAAAGUAAUGAAAAUACAAAGAAUGUCAAUUUCCAGUAUUUGGUAAUGCAGAGGAAAAAGAAGAUUGAGAAUUCUGAUAUAUAUAAUUUGUUAGAUAAUAAAAUAUGAGAAAUAUGAUAGAUAUAAUAUCACAUGAUGAUAUAAAAAAACAGUGUAGAAUGACAUAAUAUAUAGAUAUGGAUCAAAACAUUAAAAUUUUAAUCUGAUUUGUAUGUAAUAAACACAAAUAUAAAUACAUAAAAAACAUAAUAUAAGUACGCUAUGCUUCCUGCCUCAAAGAUCCCUUCUUGCCCUCGGUUUUCCACCCACUUUUGUGCUGACAAGAAGUGGUAGGGAUGGGAACACUUCUUCCCAAUCUUCUCUUUUCCAUCAUCUCUCCAAUAAAAUUCCUUCAUCCUUUCACUUUUUCAUCUUCCCUAUCCAUCCCUCACUUCUCCACCAUAACAAACAUAUCGCACAAAGUUUGAAAAAUGAAAACAGAUAUCGACAAAUCUCUCAUCAACCUACAAUAACUUCCAUGUACAUGCGCGUUUGUGUGUUUAUAAUCAUACCAUAACCAAAAGAAUUACAUAAGGCACUGCAAUAUGAAAACAAUAAAUUAAUCAAAUUAACCAACUAGGAGAUAAACCCAGUUGUUUCAUAAUGAUAUAUAAGAAGUUCUUUAACCCACUAAAGAAUCUACAAGUUUGAUCAAGAUUACCUAUUUUUUACUUAAACUAAUGGCAUAUAUGUAUGAAAAUUAAAAUCUCACCUAAUUAGUAGAAAGAUUCAUUAUCUCAUGUAAGAUAUGCCGCGGAAUCUAUAGACAAACUGGUGUGUCACACUAAAUAAUCUCAAAUCUAAACUUCAAUUAAACAAGAUUCAUAAAACAACAUUCAAUUCCAAAAAUAGUAUAGCAUAUAAGAAACUAAAAACAAAUGAAACAAUCCCAAUUUUUUGCAUAUAAAAUACAUAAAUAAAAAAAAAGGUAGAAACUAAAAAUAGGCAUACCUACAAGAGAACUACCCUCUCUGGGCCAUGUUUUUUACACCCCUGCAUUUAGCUUUUAUAAAUGUUUUGGUGCAGCCCUUUUACUUUCCUUCACCAAUUUGAAUGAUUAUGGAGUUGUGCAAGUGUUGGAUAGGCAACUGAAGCAGAAAAGGGAGAGAAGGAAGGUUCAUAACUUAACAUGUAUUAACUAGGAAACGGGUAAGUAGUAGAACAGACCCAAAUUAUAAAACACUAGUUCAGUGGACUGGUGAAUGUUUGGGAUCUGAUUUUAUGUGAUUCAGCUUCAAUCUUUACUGCGACUAAGUUUCUGACUUUCUGAGUUUGUA